rnacentral:lncRNA from 1 species
UCCAGUGAGACCCCCUAUUUUUCGUGUAACAUGAGUACAAUGAAUAAGACAUAUAAUACUAAUGAACAAAACACAUAUCUAAUGAACAAGAUGUAUAUACUGAUGAAAAAUAAAAUUUAAAAAAUUCGUAAUGAAUAAGACAUAUAUACUGAUGAACAGGGCCGUAUAUACUGAUGAACAACACAGUAUAUACUGAUGAAUAACAAAAUUUAAAAUAUUCUGCUCCCUCCAGGAUUCGAACCCUGCAAAAAAAAAAUCACCCUCCAGAUACAAUAUCAG